rnacentral:rRNA from 1 species
GAUCCUGGCUCAGGAUGAACGCUGGCGGCGUGCCUAACACAUGCAAGUCGAGCGAGAAAUCUUGGAAUGAGACUUCGGUUAAGUGAAGAGAUGGAAAGCGGCGGACGGGUGAGUAACGCGUAGGCAACCUGCCUUAUGCAGAGGGAUAGCCAUUGGAAACGAUGAUUAAAACCUCAUAAUGCCAUUUUAUCACAUGGUGAGAUGGUCAAAGAUUUAUCGGCAUAGGAUGGG